GACGAACGCUGGCGGCGUGCUUAACACAUGCAAGUCGAACGGAAAGGCCCUGCUUUUGUGGGGUGCUCGAGUGGCGAACGGGUGAGUAACACGUGAGUAACCUGCCCUUGACUUUGGGAUAACUUCAGGAAACUGGGGCUAAUACCGGAUAGGAGCUCCUGCUGCAUGGUGGGGGUUGGAAAGUUUCGGCGGUUGGGGAUGGACUCGCGGCUUAUCAGCUUGUUGGUGGGGUAGUGGCUUACCAAGGCUUUGACGGGUAGCCGGCCUGAGAGGGUGACCGGCCACAUUGGGACUGAGAUACGGCACAGACUACUACGGGAGGCAGCAGUGGAGAAUAUUGCACAAUGGGAGGAAGCCUGAUGCAGCAACGCCGCGUGCGGGAUGACGGCCUUCGGGUUGUAAACCGCUUUCGCCUGUGACGAAGCGUGAGUGACGGUAAUGGGUAAAGAAGCACCGGCUAACUACGUG
rnacentral:rRNA from 1 species